CAAGUUCGAACGGAAAGGCCCUGCUUGCAGGGUACUCGAGUGGCGAACGGGUGAGUAACACGUGGGUGAUCUGCCUCGUACUUCGGGAUAAGCUUGGGAAACUGGGUCUAAUACCGGAUAUAACCUUCCUUUAGUGUGGGGGGUGGAAAGUUUUUUCGGUACGAGAUGAGCCCGCGGCCUAUCAGCUUGUUGGUGGGGUAAUGGCCUACCAAGGCGUCGACGGGUAGCCGGCCUGAGAGGGUGGACGGCCACAUUGGGACUGAGAUACGGCCCAGACUCCUACGGGAGGCAGCAGUGGGGAAUAUUGCACAAUGGGCGCAAGCCUGAUGCAGCGACGCCGCGUGGGGGAUGACGGCCUUCGGGUUGUAAACCUCUUUCGCUAGGGACGAAGCCAUCCUUUGGGGGUGGUGACGGUACCUGGAUAAGAAGCACCGGCUAACUACGUGCCAGCAGCCGCGGUAAUACGUAGGGUGCGAGCGUUGUCCGGAAUUACUGGGCGUAAAGAGCUCGUAGGUGGUUUGUCGCGUCGUCUGUGAAAUUCCGGGGCUUAACUCCGGGCGUGCAGGCGAUACGGGCAAUACUUGAGUGCUGUAGGGGAGACUGGAAUUCCUGGUGUAGCGGUGAAAUGCGCAGAUAUCAGGAGGAACACCAAUGGCGAAGGCAGGUCUCUGGGCAGUAACUGACGCUGAGGAGCGAAAGCAUGGGUAGCGAACAGGAUUAGAUACCCUGGUAGUCCAUGCCGUAAACGGUGGGCGCUAGGUGUAGGGGUCUUCCACGACUUCUGUGCCGUAGCUAACGCAUUAAGCGCCCCGCCUGGGGAGUACGGCCGCAAGGCUAAAACUCAAAGGAAUUGACGGGG
rnacentral:rRNA from 1 species